rnacentral:lncRNA from 1 species
AGUAGUCUACUCCAAAUAUUUGGGUAAAACCUUUUACUAUGAGACGAGCUUUGUACCUCUCUAAAUAUCCAUCCGAGUGUACUUAACUGUGAAUACCCACUUACAGCAAACAACUUUGAUGCGGAACCCAUGAUCAAUUACUGUGAUAAAAAACUUCGCAUAUAACAUUAGUAUUUAGAAUCAUAAAACUCUUAACAAAUCCUCUCUACUUGACCUACAUUCAACACGUAAAUGUCAACAAAGAUAAUUGGAAUAGUUUGAAUUGAUUAAAAACGCCACAAGUAUGAACUUGAUAAAUUAGAAAUCAAUUCGAAAGAAAAUUAAUAAAAC